rnacentral:rRNA from 1 species
GGUAACCUACCUAUAAGACUGGGACAACUUCGGGAAACCGGAGCUAAUACCGGAUAAUAUGUUGAACCGCAUGGUUCAAUAGUGAAAGAUGGUUUUGCUAUCACUUUAUAGAUGGACCUGCGCCGUAUUAGCUAGUUGGUGAGGUAACGGCUCACCAAGGCAACGAUACGUAGCCGACCUGAGAGGGUGAUCGGCCACACUGGAACUGAGACACGGUCCAG